rnacentral:lncRNA from 1 species
CCGCCAAGAUCGCAAGAUUAAGUAAACACAAAUCACACACCAUCAUUUGCAGCGGAAAUAAAUUCUUUAUUGCAAAAUGAUUACAUGUUACAAUAAGUUUACAUUAUACAAUUAUCGGAGUGAUUACAAAAGAAAGUGAUUCAAAAGAAUUAUAAUUUAAAAUGUAUAAAAUAUUUAUAGUUUUUAAAAUACAUGCUAACUUAAGUGACAAUCCUCAAUAAAGAAGCUAAAGAUGGGAUAUACUUAUAUAAGAAGGCCGAGCCCACCGGCACUUAGCACCAUCCACAACAGAACAAAAUUUCAACCUGAAAAACAACAGGGAAUAAAACCCUGAGUACGCAAUUACUCAGCAAGACUUACCCGACUAAAGAAAAGACUCCCAAGGGUAUGUUGGUUUGUCGGGAAUUAAGGUAAAGCUUAUCGAAUUUCAAAGACACGUUUUCGCAGAAAAGCUUACUAGUAGUGGAUCCUUAUGCCAAACUUUUACUUCACAAAUUAAGUAUUUUUCCUGAAUUUAGAUUUGCCUAAUCUAGAGCAUUCACUUGUCCUACACUAGCUUCAUUUUAGCAGCUUUAGUUUCACUUGUUAUCUACGAUGCAGGGCAGUGAUCCAGUCUUCAUAUCCGAGAAGUAACGGCGAUCCGAAUCGAUUAAUACUCAGCUGAGGAUCUCCAACCACACGAUAUAUGUAGCACUUAACCCUUGCAUAUGUCAACUCGCCCACGGGUUUCUCAAGACCAGAACGGGUUCACGCGACCCGAGAGCACAGCACUCCACCAUCCAGCCAUUGGCCUGGUUGGUACACGUUACUCUCGCCAUGGUGCCCGCCAUGUUUCUGAGAGUACAGCACCCCACCUUCCAGCCGUUGGCCUAGUUGGUACACGUUACUCUCGCCAUGGUGCCCGCCAUGUUUCCGAGAGUACAGCACCCCACCUUCCAGUCUCUUGCCACGGAGGGUACAAGCUACUCUCGCCAUCUCUCCACUCCCAGUGCGUGCGAGCUGUUCUGGUAUUGGUCCGACCGAGGCAAAGCUUACCCAUGAUGAGGCAUGUGGCCAGUUAAAGGGUCCUAGAUCAGCAGGCCAACAAUCAGAACUGUCCUUAAGCGACACAGACGGGCGACCUUUCCUGCUCAACGUCUAGUCUCAUCUUAUUAUUUAACACCCAAACCAUGUACCUGACAGAGGUACCAUACUUGAAUGAUGAAUUCAUCACUGCAGAUGAUGCGCUCACCAUUACAAGUCCUUUUUCAUAAAACAAACCCAUACCCAGUGUCACACAUCAUUCUUUUAAAAAGAAACAAGUUUUAAUUCUCUAGGCAGGGCUAAGCCUCAUUAGUUCUUUUUGUAAAACAGGUAUCAAGGAGGAUAAUCAAAUUCCAAGGAAUGGCAAUGCAUCAACUGUUUCAUCACUCAACUCCUAUCACCUAAUGCAGCAUAUAAGUGAUAAAAGUUUUAAAACAACAAGGAGGUGGCAAAUGCACCGGGGCUUGCCUGAAAUAAACACUAUGUUAGUGUUGUUAGAUGAAGGCCACUUGACGAUCAACUUUCGUUUUGACAUCCGCUUAGUCCAUCCAUCUUCAGGCUCAUUGGCCGACAUCGUCUUGUGGGUUGUUUUGAUCCACACCCUUCGCUUCGCACGAUUUUCAGCUAGCGUACCUAAUUAGAUGUACAAUGCACAUGUAUAAACAUAAGGAAGAAUAACACAACAUAUUACACACAAUAAAGAAUUAAGCACAAUGACGAGGCGCUGCAACACUUGUGAGAAAAUACUAGAUGCCAACAAAUGACUAAGUACAACAAGGACGGCCAUGGGUUCUAACCCAAACAUCGAGAAACUUUAAACGAAUACAAGUCCUAUCGUACUUAGGUAGAGUAUAAUACAAAAGAUUCAUCCGAUUAAAUUCACUAUAACUAGCUUCUAGGACUAACAUAUGGAGAGAAGCAAACUAACACAUUUAACAUAAUUAACCUAAACAGACUUAUCAGUUAAUUAUUGAAAUGCUACAUUUAUUUCUCGCAUUAUUAUUGAUACCACACAUCGCUCGUGCAGAACUAAUUUAGUUUUUACUUCAUAUUACUAAUUUCACCAUACUUACACAAAUCUGAAUAGUCGCAACUCAUUUACAUUCACCAAAGUAUUUACCUCCUCCUUAAUUCAAUCAAGUCUAAAGCAAACAUUUAGAAAGAAUGAACUGACCAUAUAUAACAAAGAAUUUGGAUAAACACUUCACAUGCAACAAAUUUUCAUCAAUCAAGGAUCAAGGAUUGACUAAUCCUUCCCAGGCAAACAAAAAUGACACCAAGGAAUCAGUUUAACACAUGCAGAUUUUCUAGACAGCAGCACAGUGGUUAACUGUUUUAUUCAUAACUUACACAAUAUUCAUCCAAAAAUAGUAAACUAAGACUUUUUGAAAAGAUUAUAAAGUCUUCUACAAUUUUGGUAUUAUCAUCACAGUGAGAUUUGACAUAUAGAAAUAUCAAACAGUACUAAACGCAAUUUCUGUUCAGAUUUGGACAGAAUUCGACUACUCGCUUCAAAAAUCCAUAACCGGAGUUUCAGAAAUCCAAAUCAGGUGAUCCUAGACUUUUUAGAAAGCUAGUAGAAUUGUCUACAAUUUAUUUGUAAACAUCUCAGGGUGAUUCAAUGUGUAUCGAAGUCAGUUAAUACAAACAAACAUUGCUGUCCAGAUUUGGACAGAUUCAGACAUCACAUUUCAAACAGCCAUAACCUGACUUCUAGAUCACCAAAAAGGGUGAUCCAAAUUUUGUUGGGAGGCUUAAGAAAAGUACUAAAAUUCUUCUAUAAUUACUAAAGACUGGUUCUCAUUUUAACUUAGCCAAAAAAUGCAAUUUUCGAAACCUGUCCAGAAUUGGGACAGAUUCUGAAACUGGACUUGGAAAAAUCAUAACUCCUAAACUACUAGUCCUAUGGUUAUGAAAUUUUAGCACAAGUAAGAUGAAGAGGUUAGCUACAACUUUUCUAUAUAACACUUUCACAGAAAACAUGAUUUACUUCACUCAAUUAGUUGCACAAUCAAAACUGUACGUGCAGGUUUGGACAGCAAUACCGUCAUCACUUAUUUUAACCAUAACCAUGAAUACAAUCAUGUCACUAUCCACGAAGAGGUAUCACCACUAACUCAUGAUGCAUAUAUAUUCACCAAACACAUCUAUUCAAUUCAUCUAACAAUUCAAUCAAUACUAAUAAUGAAUUAGCUUACCAACACUAAAUAGACUCAGAUUUCGCAAGAGCAACAAGGAUCUUCGGUUCAUCCAUUCCAUCAAACACCUAGAGCGCGUCGAACUGAAACACGGUUUCUUCUCCAUUGAUUUUCCCUAGAACUCUCUUCCAAUCUCACACAUAAACACAUAGAGUUUCACAAGCGUCAUGACAUGGACAACAAACUGAAAUCAAAAUACAACACGCAAGGUCUAGGGAAACAAUAAAAAGAUUCGGAGCUCACCACUUGACGAAAGGGAGGGGGCUGGCGCUUGGGCUUUCAUUCAUGGAGAACAAAAGAAAAAGGGGAAGCUGCUGCUGCAGAAUUAGAGGAGGGCUACUGCUCCACGGAAGAACAGAGAGGAGGCUGGGCACAGAGGGAGGGCGAGCAGGGGAAGGAGGUGCCAUGGCUGCUGGCGUGGGGAGAAACCAGGGAGCAGAGAGGGGCUGGGCGAGCUCAGUUUGGGGAGGAAGAUGAGGGAGGGGCGGCCAUGGAAACCUAGGGCAGUGGAGGGAGCUCACCAUGGAAGAAGCUGCAGACGGCCAUGGGAAGGAAGCACGGCGUGCUUGCAGCUGACAUGGGGAGGGACUCGGCUGGUGCAGCGGCCAUGGAGGCGAGGAGAUGGCUGGGCGAGCAGGGAGGGCGCGGCUGGCGAGCUGGAGCCGGGGAGAAACCAGAGCAAGGACAGCCGGCGUGGAGGCUAAGGCCGUCGGCCUGGGAAGAAGAUGGCGUGUAGGAGUUUGGUUGGGACGUGGCUGAUAAGCUUUGCAUCCUGGGCAUGCUGCGUAUGGCUGAGUGGAUGAGCUACGGUGGUUUCCAGGGAACAAACGUGUCUGAUGCUCAGAACAAUAAAGGGUGUGGUGGUUGAGGUUAAAAUCGAAGAAAUAUCUUCAUUCUCUUUUCCUCCACCAAGCAAUAUCUAAUUUACUCCACGAUUCUUAUUUUUGCACACCAACUAAUCCUAGAUUUAAAUCUUAAGACUAUGGCACAACUCGAUUUGAAUUUAAACUACCAAAGUUUUGAAUAGUUAGUAUUUGUCUAAAUUUUAAAUCCAAACAUACGCUAGUCUGAGUUAAUGUGGCACGAGCCACAAAAACCUAACAUAAGUUCUUGCGUUACGAUUUAGACGAAAAACAAAUAGACCGGAUUAAAACGAAAUUUAGGCUACACAUAAUAAAUUUUCAUAGCUACUGAAACAGAUUAAUUAUGAAUACUGGGUCCUGGCAGUAAUUAUCUCAGCCCUAUUUAAUUUUGCAUCAAUAUUGUUAUCGUCGAGUUCUAAUAAUAUUUGCUUGGGCCAAAAUCGCAAGAGUGAGUCGAGAUUCCAAAUUCAUGUUCUCUUAAUCCUUAAAUUUUGAAUAGACACCAGACUCGACAUAUCGCGAAAUAAAUACGCGAGAUCGAUGUGGCAUCGAAAUUGUGAUCCUUUCGGAAGCGAUGUCACGCAUCGUUCACGGGGCGAGAGGUUGGGCGCUGUCCAGACGCCGGUUAGCACCCGCCACACGCGUCACGAUGUCAGGCCACAGAGAGACACGUGCAACGCAAGCGUGAAAGAAUUUCAAAUGCAGUUUAAGAAACUAGAUCCGAUUUCCAGAAUUAAAGUUUGGGCAAGACGUUGAUGGCUUAACCCAAACGAUACUGGAUUCGAUGUUCCGAAAAUUACUGAAGUCUGAAUUUUUGCGAAAUAAUUUAGGACAAUUUAAACAGAUGGAGACAGACACGAUAUCGAAAUCGUGAUCGGCGAAGAUGAUUAAAAUUUAGUGUCCAUUUUAUUCACCGCUAUCACAUGUUAAAGUCUGCGCUCGUGGUCGAGCAGACGAUAAACACCUGGGGUGUUACAACCCUCCCCCUUAAAAGAAUCUCGUCCCGAGAUUCGGAACGAAAGACUUUUAAGAGUAGAGAAGCAUGUGACCCUUGUCCAUAUCAGCGAUAGCAUACAACUACUUUGGGAUGAAUCCAAUAUCACAUUCUUAAACAAGAGAUCACGCAUUUGGGUAGAAAUCCAUUUGGUCAUGUUGUUCAUCUGUUUCUUCAUGUGAGAUGAAAUGACAUGGUUUGGGAAUACAUAGAUUAAAUAAGAGAGUGAAUGAACAUACUCCUACAUCUCAGCAGCAGGGAAAAUCAAUUCCCCAUUUUGAAAACUAAUUAGCUGUCUUUCAACACUAAAAAGCUUCAAGGCUUCACCUUUACACAAAGGACGUAAAGGAAACUUGUAUGUGUAGUCACCACCAAAAUCAAGAGAAAAGAGACCACACAUGAAAGGGGUGAAUUUUUUUUAACACACGGUUAGACACAAAUAGGUUUUGAUUUUUGUUGGAGAUUUCUGAAUGGGUAGAAAAUUUACCAAGGAAUACAUUAGAGUUAUACACUCUUUUGAUCCAACAGUGAUGGCAUAUGUUGCUUGAUUGUUGUAGAAAACAACACAAAAAUCGUUUCAAGGGAGGAGUCAACGGAAGAUCACACAUUAGUGUAGUUCCACAAUGGAUCAUGACCAAAGACCUCGAUACCAGCAUGCGCCAAGCAGCAUAACCUUGCGUGUACAUUCACAAGGGGCUCUCAGUUUCGUCGCGGCACCAAAAAUCAUUAAUCGUGACACCAUUACCGAAGUCGCACCAAUAAUGAAUCUCACGGCGUAAGAACAAAAGUAUGCAGAGAUGACAUAUCGAUAUAGUCUAAUAAUGGAUUACAACUACUAACUGUGAUACCAGCUCGUGCCAAGUAGCGCAACCAUGUGCUGAUCACCCACAGGAGGCCCUCGGUUUCGUCGCGGCACCAUCAAUUUUAGUCAUAACGCCAUUACCAGACGUAACCAAUAAGAAAUCUCAUGCGGCACAAAUAGACUGAGCCAGGGUGACAAUAUACAAAAUAGACUCCAUUAAGAAUGGUUACAAGUAGAGAGCCAAAUAGAUCAUGGACCGAUGAAACGAACAAGACAUGGUCAAGACCUAAAUCGGUUGAUGAAGGGAGUACGAUAAGAGACUGUUAAUUCAGCCCCAAGCAUAUUUCUAUGCCCAUCGCAAAGAUUACAAGGUCGAUGAUUAAUGUCAGAUUAGAUAUAGAGGGGACACAAUCAUAAGACUAAAUUGAGAAGCCUUAGAGAGAUAUGAGAAAUCGAAGGCAUUAAAUUCAAGAAAAUAAUUGGGCACUCCUUUCCUAGGUUGGACUGAGAAAGCAACAAGGUGAUCCUGAUGGAGAUGCAAACUGACAUAGAGAUAUCAGCUUGCACCAACCGAACAAAGGUAUGUUUUAGGAUGAAAAUAUGACCAUAAGAGCUACAAGUUGGCUGUUAAGAUCAGGGACUCGAGAUAUUUUUUUAAGUUUGAAUGCAUCAUAGGUCCAAUAAGGGAAUUACCUAAACAUCUUUUAUAUGAGCUUGAUCACAAAGUAACGACGAAAAAAAUUCAGACUCGUCCACGUUUGGAAACUGGGGAAAAAUUUCAAAGAAUUUACAUCGAUUUGGGUCAUGGCUCCUAGAUGAGGACAUGGCCUAAUUUUGAGUUUAUGCAAACAUACCACCAACAUUCUAUCGGCACACAGGCACAAAAAUAAACAUAAGUUGCACUAUCGGUCAAACUAAGAAGAACCACAGACCACAUAAACACAUGUCUAAAGGACACCUCAAAUAAAGCUAGAAAUUUGCUUAUAGGACAGUCAUACUUCAAACAUUUUCCAAUUAUUUAUUAUCGAAAUAAAGAUGAGAAAAGCAUAUUCGUUUACAACCACCAAUUAUUAGAAUAAGGGCAAGAGAAGCAUAUUUGUGCACAAACAACAAACACAAUGCAACAAUCAGGAUGCAUGCUCGUCCUAUUCGUCCUCACGAAUUUUGCCAACUUAAUGUGGCAAUAGCGUUCUAUAUCGGUGGCAUAUCUACGUUCUCUCUCGAUAUGUUGCUAGUCGUCAGCUACACAUACGAGUUCGAAGUUAGUGUACCUGCAGAAAAUUCCAUCACAGCCCAAUUCCCAAUGAUGCAAUUCACACAUGACAGUUUAUCACAGUUUAUACUCCAUAUAUUUCUAUAUGGAGGCCAGCUCAUCAUUAAGCGUCGAGCCACGCAUAGGCGCCGCUGCCACACUUUAACCAUAGGGCAGCCCAUUAUGGUAACUCACCUUCUUACCUGAGCGUAGGUGCGUCGUUGCAAAGACAUUACACUUCUCAGUAUUCUCAUGUCUGUAUACCCAUACACAUCCAUGGGGUACUGAAUCCCAAAAAGUAAAUACUCCACAUCGCAGCCUUCAUAUAUACAUAUGUAAAACAUGUAUAUAAUCAAGCGCUUUUUAUACUCUCCCCUAGACCGACGUUUGUUCAGUCAUGCUCUCACAUCUCACCUUACCUUGAGCGUCGAUCCAUUCAAAACUGAAUGGCCUCAAAAAAAUAACAUUACACAUGUAUGCAUUCCCAGGUUGUGGGUUAGUAUUUUGAUCAAAGCCACCUGAUAGUCCUUAAUUUAGGGCUUAACAGAGGAUGUCACUAGCAUAAUAGUUUUUCAAAGCUAUUUUUCAAAGCCAAACAAUGUGUUUAGUUGAAAAUAGGUUUUCCAAAACCAAAAUCUUUGUUUUGAAAAUACGUAUGUGACCGUAUUAUACUUAAUCACGCUCCGAUACCAGCUGUCGCAGAACCUCCCAAGUUAUCGGGCCCACAUGCACCUGUCCUUGUCUCAAAGACCUCAGACAGCUAUGCAUGUGCACCAAACAACUUAACAGGAUCUGUCCGAGUGCCCCGAGGACCCCGGAUAAACGACUUACCGCCAAGAUCGCAAGAUUAAGUAAACACAAAUCACACACCAUCAUUUGCAGCGGAAAUAAAUUCUUUAUUGCAAAAUGAUUACAUGUUACAAUAAGUUUACAUUAUACAAUUAUCGGAGUGAUUACAAAAGAAAGUGAUUCAAAAGAAUUAUAAUUUAAAAUGUAUAAAAUAUUUAUAGUUUUUAAAAUACAUGCUAACUUAAGUGACAAUCCUCAAUAAAGAAGCUAAAGAUGGGAUAUACUUAUAUAAGAAGGCCGAGCCCAUCGGCACUUAGCACCAUCCACAACAGAACAAAAUUUCAACCUGAAAAACAACAGGGAAUAAAACCCUGAGUACGCAAUUACUCAGCAAGACUUACCCGACUAAAGAAAAGACUCUCAAGGGUAUGCUGGUUUGUCGGGAAUUAAGGUAAAGCUUAUCGAAUUUCAAAGACACGUUUUCGCAGAAAAGCUUACUAGUAGUGGAUCCUUAUGCCAAACUUUUACUUCACAAAUUAAGUAUUUUUCCUGAAUUUAGAUUUGCCUAAUCUAGAGCAUUCACUUGUCCUACACUAGCUUCAUUUUAGCAGCUUUAGUUUCACUUGUUAUCUACGAUGCAGGGCAGUGAUCCAGUCUUCAUAUCCGAGAAGUAACGGCGAUCCGAAUCGAUUAAUACUCAGCUGAGGAUCUCCAACCACACGACAUAUGUAGCACUUAACCCUUGCAUAUGUCAACUCGCCCAUGGGUUUCUCAAGACCAGAACGGGUUCACGCGACCUGAGAGCACAGCACUCCACCGUCCAGUCAUUGGCCUGGUUGGUACACGUUACUCUCGCCAUGGUGCCCGCCAUGUUUCCAAGAGUACAGCACCCCACCUUCCAGCCGUUGGCCUAGUUGGUACACGUUACUCUCGCCAUGGUGCCCGCCAUGUUUCCGAGAGUACAGCACCCCACCUUCCAGUCUCUUGCCACGGAGGGUACAAGCUACUCUCGCCAUCUCUCCACUCCCAGUGCGUGCGAGCUGUUCUGGUAUUGGUCCGACCGAGGCAAAGCUUACCCAUGAUGAGGCAUGUGGCCAGUUAAAGGGUCCUAGAUCAGCAGGCCAACAAUCAGAACGGUCCUUAAGCGACACAGACGGGCGACCUUUCCUGCUCAACGUCUGGUCUCAUCUUAUUAUUUAACACCCAAACCAUGUACCUGACAGAGGUACCAUACUUGAAUGAUGAAUUCAUCACUGCAGAUGAUGCGCUCACCAUUACAAGUCCUUUUUCAUAAAACAAACCCAUACCCAGUGUCACACAUCAUUCUUUUAAAAAGAAACAAGUUUUAAUUCUCUAGGCAGGGCUAAGCCUCAUUAGUUCUUUUUGUAAAACAGGUAUCAAGGAGGAUAAUCAAAUUCCAAGGAAUGGCAAUGCAUCAACUGUUUCAUCACUCAACUCCUAUCACCUAAUGCAGCAUAUAAGUGAUAAAAGUUUUAAAACAACAAGGAGGUGGCAAAUGCACCGGGGCUUGCCUGAAAUAAACACUAUGUUAGUGUUGUUAGAUGAAGGCCACUUGACGAUCAACUUUCGUUUUGACAUCCGCUUAGUCCAUCCAUCUUCAGGCUCAUUGGCCGACAUCGUCUUGUGGGUUGUUUUGAUCCACACCCUUCGCUUCGCACGAUUUUCAGCUAGCGUACCUAAUUAGAUGUACAAUGCACAUGUAUAAACAUAAGGAAGAAUAACACAACAUAUUACACACAAUAAAGAAUUAAGCACAAUGACGAGACGCUGCAACACUUGUGAGAAAAUACUAGAUGCCAACAAAUGACUAAGUACAACAAGGACGGCCAUGGGUUCUAACCCAAACAUCGAGAAACUUUAAACGAAUACAAGUCCUAUCGUACUUAGGUAGAGUAUAAUACAAAAGAUUCAUCCGAUUAAAUUCACUAUAACUAGCUUCUAGGACUAACAUAUGGAGAGAAGCAAACUAACACAUUUAACAUAAUUAACCUAAACAGACUUAUCAGUUAAUUAUUGAAAUGCUACAUUUAUUUCUCGCAUUAUUAUUGAUACCACACAUCGCUCGUGCAGAACUAAUUUAAUUUUUACUUCAUAUUACUAAUUUCACCAUACUUACACAAAUCUGAAUAGUCGCAACUCAUUUACAUUCACCAAAGUAUUUACCUCCUCCUUAAUUCAAUCAAGUCUAAAGCAAACAUUUAGAAAGAAUGAACUGACCAUAUAUAAUAAAGAAUUUGGAUAAACACUUCACAUGCAACAAGUUUUCAUCAAUCAAGGAUCAAGGAUUGACUAAUCCUUCCCAGGCAAACAAAAAUGACACCAAGGAAUCAGUUUAACACAUGCAGAUUUUCUAGACAGCAGCACAGUGGUUAACUGUUUUAUUCAUAACUUACACAAUACUCAUCCAAAAAUAGUAAACUAAGACUUUUUGAAAAGAUUAUAAAGUCCUCUACAAUUUUGGUAUUAUCAUCACAGUGAGAUUCGACAUAUAGAAAUAUCAAACAGUACUAAACGCAAUUUCUGUCCAGAUUUGGACAGAAUUCGACUACUCGCUUCAAAAAUCCAUAACCGGAGUUUCAGAAAUCCAAAUCAGGUGAUCCUAGACUUUUUAGAAAGCUAGUAGAAUUGUCUACAAUUUAUUUGUAAACAUCUCAGGGUGAUUCAAUGUGUAUCGAAGUCAGUUAAUACAAACAAACAUAGCUGUCCAGAUUUGGACAGAUUCAGACAUCACAUUUCAAAUAGCCAUAACCUGACUUCUAGAUCACCAAAAAGGGUGAUCCAAAUUUUGUUGGGAGGCUUAAGAAAAGUACUAAAAUUCUUCUAUAAUUACUAAAGACUGGUUCUCAUUUUAACUUAGCCAAAAAAUACAAUUUUCGAAACCUGUCCAGAAUUGGGACAGAUUCUGAAACUGGACUUGGAAAAAUCAUAACUCCUAAACUACUAGUCCUAUGGUUAUGAAAUUUUAGCACAAGUAAGAUGAAGAGGUUAGCUACAACUUUUCUAUAUAACACUUUCACAGAAAACAUGAUUUACUUCACUCAAUUAGUUGCACAAUCAAAACUGUACGUGCAGGUUUGGACAGCAAUACCGUCAUCACUUAUUUUAACCAUAACCAUGAAUACAAUCAUGUCACUAUCCACGAAGAGGUAUCACCACUAACUCAUGAUGCAUAUAUAUUCACCAAACACAUCUAUUCAAUUCAUCUAACAAUUCAAUCAAUACUAAUAAUGAAUUAGCUUACCAACACUAAAUAGACUCAGAUUUCGCAAGAGCAACAAGGAUCUUCGGUUCAUCCAUUCCAUCAAACACCUAGAGCGCGUCGAACUGAAACACGGUUUCUUCUCCAUUGAUUUUCCCUAGAACUCUCUUCCAAUCUCACACACAAACACAUAGAGUUUCACAAGCGUCAUGACAUGGACAACAAACUGAAAUCAAAAUACAACACGCAAGGUCUAGGGAAACAAUAAAAAGAUUCGGAGCUCACCACUUGACAAAAGGGAGGGGGCUGGCGCUUGGGCUUUCAUUCAUGGAGAACAAAAGAAAAAGGGGAAGCUGCUGCUGCAGAAUUAGAGGAGGGCUACUGCUCCACGGAAGAACAGAGAGGAGGCUGGGCACAGAGGGAGGGCGAGCAGGGGAAGGAGGUGCCAUGGCUGCUGGCGUGGGGAGAAACCAGGGAGCAGAGAGGGGCUGGGCGAGCUCAGCUUGGGGAGGAAGAUGAGGGAGGGGCGGCCAUGGAAACCUAGGGCACUGGAGGGAGCUCACCAUGGGAGAAGCUGCAGACGGCCAUGGGAAGGAAGCACGGCGUGCUUGCAGCUGACAUGGGGAGGGACUCGGCUGGUGCAGCGGCCAUGGAGGCGAGGAGAUGGCUGGGCGAGCAGGGAGGGCGCGGCUGGCGAGCUGGAGCCGGGGAGAAACCAGAGCAAGGACAGCCGGCGUGGAGGCUAAGGCCGUCGGCCUAGGAAGAAGAUGGCGUGUAGGAGUUUGGUUGGGACGUGGCUGAUAAGCUUUGCAUCCUGGGCAUGCUGCGUAUGGCUGAGUGGAUGAGCUACGGUGGUUUCCAGAGAACAAACGUGUCUGAUGCUCAGAACAAUAAAGGGUGUGGUGGUUGAGGUUAAAAUCGAAGAAAUAUCUUCAUUCUCUUUUCCUCCACCAAGCAAUAUCUAAUUUACUCCACGAUUCUUAUUUUUGCACACCAACUAAUCCUAGAUUUAAAUCUUAAGACUAUGGCACAACUCGAUUUGAAUUUAAACUACCAAAGUUUUGAAUAGUUAGUAUUUGUCUAAAUUUUAAAUCCAAACAUACGCUAGUCUGAGUUAAUGUGGCACGAGCCACAAAAACCUAACAUAAGUUCUUGCGUUACGAUUUAGACGAAAAACAAAUAGACCGGAUUAAAACGAAAUUUAGGCUACACAUAAUAAAUUUUCAUAGCUACUGAAACAGAUUAAUUAUGAAUACUGGGUCCUGGCAGUAAUUAUCUCAGCCCUAUUUAAUUUUGCAUCAAUAUUGUUAUCGUCGAGUUCUAAUAAUAUUUGCUUGGGCCAAAAUCGCAAGAGUGAGUCGAGAUUCCAAAUUCAUGUUCUCUUAAUCCUUAAAUUUUGAAUAGACACCAGACUCGACAUAUCGCGAAAUAAAUACGCGAGAUCGAUGUGGCAUCGAAAUUGUGAUCCUUUCGGAAGCGAUGUCACGCAUCGUUCACGGGGCGAGAGGUUGGGCGCUGUCCAGACGCCGGUUAGCACCCGCCACACGUGUCACGAUGUCAGGCCACAGAGAGACACGUGCAACGCAAGCGUGAAAGAAUUUCAAAUGCAGUUUAAGAAACUAGAUCCGAUUUCCAGAAUUAAAGUUUGGGCAAGACGUUGAUGGCUUAACCCAAACGAUACUGGAUUCGAUGUUCCGAAAAUUACUGAAGUCUGAAUUUUUGCGAAAUAAUUUAGGACAAUUUAAACAGAUGGAGA